rnacentral:rRNA from 1 species
AAUCAACGCUGGCGGCGUGCCUCAGACAUGCAAGUCGAACGAUUAAAGCUCUCUUCGGAGAGUGUAUAGAGUGGCGCACGGGUGAGUAACACGUAAGUAAUCUACCUUUGAGUGGGGAAUAACAAUCGGAAACGGUUGCUAAUACCGCAUAAUGCAGCGGCAUCGCAAGAUGACAGUUGUUAAAGGAGCAAUCCGCUUAAAGAGGAGCUUGCGGCAGAUUAGCUAGUUGGUAAGGUAACGGCUUACCAAGGCUACGAUCUGUAUCCGGUCUAAGAGGACGGUCGGACACACUGACACUGAAUAACGGGUCAGACUCCUACGGGAGGCAGCAGUCGGGAAUUUUGGGCAAUGGGCGAAAGCCUGACCCAGCAACGCCGCGUGAAGGAUGAAGUAUUUCGGUAUGUAAACUUCGAAAGAAUAGGAAGAAUAAAUGACGGUACUAUUUAUAAGGUCCGGCUAACUACGUGCCAGCAGCCGCUGUAAC